UACGGGGUGGGCAAGCGUUGUUCGGAAUUACUGGGCGUAAAGGGCUCGUAGGCGGCCAACUAAGUCCGACGUGAAAUCCCCAGGCUUAACCUGGGAACUGCGUCGGAUACUGGAUGGCUUGAAUUCGGGAGAGGGAUGCAGAAUUCCAGGUGUAGCGGUGAAAUGCGUAGAUAUCUGGAGGAAUACCGGUGGCGAAGGCGGCAUCCUGGACCGACAUUGACGCUGAUGAGCGAAAGCCAGGGGAGCAAACGGG
rnacentral:rRNA from 1 species